GGUGCCAUAGCUCAGUUGGUAGAGCAAAGGACUGAAAAUCCUUGUGUCCCCGGUUCGAUUCCU
rnacentral:tRNA from 1 species